GACGAACGCUGGCGGCGUGCCUAACACAUGCAAGUCGAGCGGAGAUAAGCGGAAGGUAACUGAAGCUUAUCUUAGCGGCGGACGGGUGAGUAACACGUGGGCAACCUGCCUUGAAGUGGGGGAUAACACCGGGAAAUCGGUGCUAAUACCGCAUAACAUACACAAACUGCAUGGUAAGUGUAUCAAAGGAGCAAUCCGCUUUAAGAUGGGCCCGCGGCUGAUUAGCUAGUUGGUAAGGUAACGGCUUACCAAGGCGACGAUCAGUAGCCGACCUGAGAGGGUGACCGGCCACACUGGAACUGAGACACGGUCCAGACUCCUACGGGAGGCAGCAGUGGGGAAUAUUGCGCAAUGGGGGGAACCCUGACGCAGCAACGCCGCGUGGAGGAAGAAAGGUCUUCGGAUUGUAAACUCCUGUCUUCUGGGACGAAUAAUGACGGUACCAGAGGAGGAAGCCACGGCUAACUACGUG
rnacentral:rRNA from 1 species